UACGUAGGGGGCAAGCGUUGUCCGGAAUCAUUGGGCGUAAAGCGCGUGUAGGCGGCCAGGUAAGUCCGUUCUGAAAGCCCGGGGCUCAACCCCGGGAGGCGGAUGGAUACUGCUUGGCUCGAGUCCGGAAGAGGCGAGUGGAAUUCCCGGUGUAGCGGUGAAAUGCGCAGAUAUCAGGAAGAACACCCGUGGCGAAGGCGGUUCUCUGGGACGGUACUGACGCUGAGACGCGAAAGCGUGGGGAGCGAACAGG
rnacentral:rRNA from 1 species